UACGUAGGGUGCGAGCGUUGUCCGGAAUUAUUGGGCGUAAAGAGCUCGUAGGCGGUUUGUCGCGUCGGAUGUGAAAGCCCGGGGCUUAACCCUGGGUCUGCAUUCGAUACGGGCAGACUGGAGUGUGGUAGGGGAGAUCGGAAUUCCUGGUGGUAGCGGUGAAAUGCGCAGAUAUCAGGAGGAACACCGAUGGCGAAGGCAGAUCUCUGGGCCGUAACUGACGCUGAGGAGCGAAAGCAUGGGGAGCGAACAGG
rnacentral:rRNA from 1 species